rnacentral:rRNA from 1 species
ACUCAAAGGAAUUGACGGGGGCCCGCACAAGCGGUGGAUCAUGUGGUUUAAUUCGAAGCAACGCGAAGAACCUUACCUGGGUUUGACAUCCUCUGACAGCUCUGGAGACAGAGUUUCCGUAGCAAUACGGCAGAGAGACAGGUGCUGCAUGGCUGUCGUCAGCUCGUGUGGUGACAUGUUGGGUUAAGUCCCGCAACGAGCGCAACCCUUGUCUUUAGUUGCCAGCAUUUAGUUGGGCACUCUAAAGAGACUGCCGUGGUUAACACGGAGGAAGGUGGGGAUGACGUCAAGUCCUCAUGGCCUUUAUAUCCAGGGCGACACACGUGAUACAAUGGAUGGUACAGAGGGAAGCGAAGCGGCAACGCGGAGCCAAUCUCAAAAAGCCAUUCUCAGUUCGGAUUGGAGUCUGCAACUCGACUCCAUGAAGUUGGAAUCGCUAGUAAUCGCGGAUCAGCACGCCGCGGUGAAUACGUUCCCGGGCCUUGCACACACCGCCCGU